UACGUAGGUCGCGAGCGUUGUCCGGAAUUACUGGGUGUAAAGGGCGUGUAGGCGGGGCGGCAAGUCAGAUGUGAAAUUCCGGAGCUCAACUCCGGCGCUGCAUCUGAAACUGUCGUUCUUGAGUGCUGGAGAGGAAAGUGGAAUUCCCAGUGUAGCGGUGAAAUGCGUAGAGAUUGGGAGGAACACCAGUGGCGAAGGCGGCUUUCUGGACAGUAACUGACGCUGAGGCGCGCAAGCGUGGGGAGCAAACAGG
rnacentral:rRNA from 1 species